GGACAUGAGGGUGAUGUGGCUGUGACAUGUGACUCCCCAUUGAUCUCCAGCAUCAAGUAAGCUGAUCUGGCUGGCUGGUGGGUGUCCCUUCUUCACCAUGGCUCCAAGUUUACCCCUCCCAAAGCUGCAUGCAAAGGGGAUACACCCCCCCCCUGGCAGAUUUCCUCAUAUUCUCUCAAAUACUUUUGAUAUGUUCAUUUUCAUUAUGUGAUGCAAUAACUGUUUGUGUAUUACAUUUU
rnacentral:snRNA from 1 species